rnacentral:lncRNA from 1 species
AUGGAGCCAGCGCACUUGCACCGCGGGGUCCGCGCCUGCCAUUUCGGCUCUGGGCUUCUUCCGCCCCCGGGUAAGUGGGUCACAUCACACGCCGCGGGUCAGGGCUGGACGACCGUGGAUGGCAGUCGGCACCUUCCGGCCAGAGGAGGAACCCGAGUUCACAAGGACGCGAUUUCCUGGCUGCGCUCCCCGGGAAGGAGCGCGCACCUUGAGUCUGCGAACCUGGUCCGGGUCCUUGAGGGGUUCAGGAGGUUCAGCUCAAGAACAGGAGGUCUGAAUCCGGGGACCCCAGAAGUCUGUGCACCUCUUGAUUCUACGUGUACCAUGUAUUGCAUUUUUGCUCAGAGGUUUAAAGGUGUCAGUGACCCCAAAAGGGUUGAGAACCGUAGCUUUCCAAGGCUGAUGGGUUCCUCAGUGCAGACUCCGGCCUUAUGAGGAUUUGACAUUCCUUAACAGCCUGUAGGACCUUGAGAAUAUCUCUGCAGGAUCUUUUCUCCUGGAUCUUGGGAAUCUUUCCAUAGAGUUUCUGGGAUCUGUCUGGGGUUUGAGGUCCCUGUGAAAUCUUGGAGUCUCUUUUCAGAGGUUCUGAGAUUCACUCUAUGGUCCUACUGUGGCGUGAGUUCAAAACCUGGGCUUCCGGAUGCCUUGAAAUUGUAGGCAAGGUAUCGUGGGCGUGUCAUAUCCAUGUAAUUCCUGGGAGAGGUUUCAUAGAUAUCACCAGAUUCUCAAAGGAGUGUCACAUCCCCAAAGCUGGGACGGACAUUGCUUUAGAGCAUCCAGUGCUAACCAGACCUUACUCCCUUCUCACCAAUAAGAACCAGGGAAGAAUAAGAUGAAGGAAUUGAAAGGCAGUGUUCUCUAGAAGGCCACAGCUUGAGCUUUGGAGUCAGGUGUUCCUAGGUUAAAAUUCCAGCUGUUGUGCUUAGCAGCUUUGUGGUCUUGAGCAAAUUUCUUAGCCUCUCUGAGCCUCAAGGCCACCUCCUCUAGGAAGCCUUCCCUGUGUCCUGGAUUCAGUUGGUUCCCACUCCACAUUCCCCAAGCCUGAUGCUCCGUGGUGCUUAAUGUGAUUGUUUUUAAGGAACUAAUUGUGUUUAACGUUAUUUCGUCUCUCUACCCCAUCAGCCAUGCUCCAAGAAGGCAGAGCCCUUUGCUGUCUUACAGUCUGUGCCGUGUCUGGUACAUGUUAGGCUCUUGGCCAUUUGUUGUGAAAUAAAUAAAAGAGGGAGAGAAUGGAGGGCUGCAAUGCCAGAUGCUGCACUGGGGGCAGAAAGGGAUCUUAAAUGACUAAGUGUCAUUUCUGUCCUGGAGGAGGUCCCAGGCUAGUGGGGGUAAUGAUGGAGUUCCUGCAAGGAUCACUGUCCUAAAUGCACUAAUGGGGGAUAAACGUUAAUGGGGAGAGCACCAAGAGAUCUAAAGAUGAGUGAGCAGUCCCUCAAGAGUUGAUGGAACCACUUCCCUUUGUAGUAUGUGUUAUAACUUACAAAGCACGUAACUUAGAUAAAUAUCUGGGUAAACCCUUAUCUUUCAGCGAUGGCGAUAUUGCUGCUGAGAAGAGUUCAGUGACUCGGCCAAGGCCACCCAUGCAAUAAUGGCUGCCCAAGGACAUAAGUCAUUUGCUUUGGAAUUCAGCCCACAUCCUUUAGGAAACAGGCUUUGAAGUUAUGAAGGUCUUGGUUUAGAUCCCACUAGAUGUGAGACUUUGGGCAAGUCAUUCACCUCCCUUGAGCCUUGUUUUCCUCAUCUGCAAGGUGGGAAUAAUGACCUCUCUAAUCCAUGUGAGAUAGUAUCUGUAAAGUGACUAGUAUGAUGCUUGGUUUACAGUAAAGGAUCCAUAAAUGUUUGUUGAAUGAAUGCAUGAAAUACACGGAUUGGUGGGUGGCCUGUGAUGGGAAGGGACUAGAAAUCAUGCCAUUGGGGGGAACGGCAGGAGAAACUGAGGGUGAUUUUAUCCCUUCCUACUCUCACUUUCUAUGAUUCCUAUGAAACUUAGCACCGGCCUCAACCACAUUCGUCUGCUUUAUUGUUUGUGACCAACAAAAGUGGACCAACCUCAGCUUGGUUAGCUUUCCUUUUAUGCCUAUCUUUAUUGCAUUUUUUGUGAUGACCAUGUAAUGUAUGCUCCUUGUAAAAAAUUUAAAUUGCAGAAAGAUAUGAGGAAAAACAAAAGUGCAAGUUUAGGCACAGUAGACAAAAGAUGCUGACAUAUUGUUAUUCUUUGGGAGGGGCACAGAACCGGCAGAAAAAAAAAAAAAAUUCUUCCUACUUUAAAGUCUUUCCUCCUGUCCUUGCCUUGGCUUCUGGAAGUUUUGUUAGGAGUCUUGCCUUUGGCCGUAGCAUUGAAGUCUGAGUGUAGCUAAGGGCUGGAGAAUGGGGAGAGGAUGAGACUUGUCUGGGCAGGGGCUUUUCCCGGAAUGAGAUGGAAACUGUGGAACUUUCUAUGGCAGUAUACACAGCUGGUUCAGAUGCCCACUGCUGAUUACCAUGACCUGUGUUUUCAUCCUCUCUUUUCUCUAUUAGAAUCUAGUAGAGUCUUUUUGGAAGUUCCUGCUAUAUGCACACGCCCACAGAGAAAAGCAAAUCAGAAAGAAAAAAGGGGAAAGCAUCCUAUUUCAUUCUCUAUAUUCUCCACUUUAAUGCUUGUACUGAGCAUAUAAGUUAUAACCACGAGGUCCCACUAUACCUGUAGUUCCAUACCUUACUCUUUUUCAUUUUUUAAAGUUUAUUUAUGUAAGUAAUCUCUACCCCCAAUGUGGGGCUUAAACUCAAGAGUCACAUGCUCCUCCUACUGAGCCAGCCAGGUACCCCAGACUUUUUCUUUUUUCACUAAAAUUUCUUCUUUCCUUAAAAGGGAUGUCAGUCUCCAAACACUAGGAUACAUGUUUGUAACUGAGCUUUCUAUUGCUCUGUGGAAGCCUUCUACUCUGUUGUCUGGUUUU